GAAGAAUCAGAAUGGGGGUUGGAGGCUAAACGUUAGCCGGACUCGGCUAAGGUGAUGAAGGGGAAUGUCGUUGCUAAGUCAAGCUCGCAUAUGGUUGUUUUGAUGGUUAAAUACACCAAAUUAAGAACAAAAGUAAAAAUGAGUUCAUAGUUAUUGGUUAGUGGCGUCUUGCCAGCUUCUAAUACCCGCCUGUGUUAGCUUGUCCUGGCUAAUGUUCAGGUAAAUAAUGGCUAUUGCUGCGUUCAAAACCCUUCUCUUGUCAUGUGAGCGUUGAAUAGACACGACUCUUAUUAUGUUUGCUCAACCCUUGUCUAUGAGAAUAGCCAAUUGAAUUAAAUGUUAAACUUUCUUUACAAUCUGACAGACUUUAUUUAAAGGGGCCUGCCUAUGCUUCAACACCCAAACAUCUAAUCUGUUGAGGCACGAAACGGGCAAAUGGCAUCACAUGAGCAGCCAUGUCAAUACUAUGCUGUUAAAUAAAUCAGCACCAGAAACCUUUAAUGAACUGAAAGCAAAACGACGUUUUACCCUUAUCCACAACCAGCCCCUUAAGGAGGUGGAAAUAUCAAGUUGUAUUGAACUUGCCUGAAUAUGUUAUUGAAUAAAGUUAUUUUCUUGUUGUUCAUAUAAACUUAACAUUUGUUAAAUAAUUGUAACUUCCAAAAAAUGUGACCAAUUAAAAAUAACUUUUAAAUUGUAUUCUGAAUUGUAAAACCUUUUUAAAAGUUUUGUCCCAAAACCCCACAUUAUUGCAAUACAAAAAAAUGUUUUGCCAUGAAAACCUCCUCAGAUGACCUUUGAUAAAUGUUCUGUGCAUUUUUGUUUUUUUGUAUGUGUGUGUUUUUGCAUGGUUUGUUUUAUCUUAUCUGUUUAAUAUCAACAGUAUUUUUUUUAAAUACUUUUGGUAUCCAGUGUGCCCAGUAAAUGAGAAUUUCAUAGUCUUGGGGAAACAUAUUUACUUACUGGGCAUAUGAUUAAAAAAAGCGCUUUGAAUCUAAUUUUUUUUCUUUUUUCUUUUUGCUUUAGUGUUUUUUCUUUUUGCUUUAGUGUUUAUGGUACGUUAUUGUGUUACUUCUGCUUAUCCCUAUUGCUUAUUUAUCAAAUCUAUUGAUUGUUGGUAUGCAUACUUGGAGAAAUUCUCAAAACUGCAAUAAAAAUCUGUUUUAAGGAGACUGCGCAAAUCACAAGUCAACUGAUCUGAACACAAAUGGCACAUUACCAGAUGGUAACACAUCAACUUUAACAUCUAAUAAUCUUAUCUGAUAGAACACAAAAAAGAUAAAUGGCAUUACAGCACAUCAUUGCAGCUUGCUAAUUAGGUGCUGCCUGACUAAUGUUCCUUGGCUCCACUACCACAAUUGUCUUGUAUUUAAGUGGGGGGUUACUAUUAUGGACCACAGCCGUUUUUCUUUCCACAGAGCUGGAAUGCAUUGUUCAUUAUUGCCUGUUUUCUCCCACUGGCAACUACAUUGUGUUAGUGUUGGAUGGGUUCAUGGUGCACAAGUGGACACCAGAUAGUUAGCUGGAGAUCUCCACUGUAAUCCAGUGCAUUUUUGACAGCAGCCAGGCCUCAUGCUUGUGCUUUUUGAAUUCCAAUAAGAUAUUGCUGGGUGUCCUUGGAAUUCUUCUCUUGCAAUUGAAUAGCAAUGAGAUGCUUCUUUGUCUUGUGUAAUUGAAAGUUGAUGCUCUUUUCAUGACAUAAAAUAAAGGGCAAGUCUCUGUUUGAUAUAUUUCCAAAUUCUUCAUUUGACAUUUGCUGGGUUCAAUUUUGGUUUUUAGCAGUGAGGGGAUGUGGAGCGGUUUGUCCUUUUGCCAAUGUUGUCCUUAUGGAUCAUUAUCUUGUCGCUGCAAAACUAAGACCAUUAUUUAUUUUAUUGCAGGGUUUUUUAAUAUGCAGGUAAAUUAUCAUGUGUAUUUUAACUAAUUCCUGAACAUUUUUACAUUUCAUUUGCAUUUAUUUAAGUUCUGAUAUCUGUGUUUGGGACAUAAAUCAUUUUAGUAAUAAAAUGCCUCGAAGUUUC